GACCACGUAGCUCAGUUGGCAGAGCAUUGAGAUAGCAUUCCAAAGGUCGUAGGUUCGAUUUCCACCGUGGUCA